GGAGGUGGGACAUAGAUUGGUGAAAAUAUUACACUAUUUGAUGAUAUCACAUAAAUCCUUUCAAAACCUUUUUAUUAAUCAAAUAAAUUAAACACGACUACAUAUAAAUGCUUUCCCUCCACACACACAAAGACAAAAACAACCAAACGAAAAUACACUCAUCAUCAUCAAACAUUUUCUCUCUAACACAUUUUCAUAUAUAGAGUUCAUAAAUUAAUUGCAUGGCCAACUUAGUUCAUAGACCUUGUCUAUCUUUCUCCAUUUUUGUGAUGAUGGUAAUAUUAAUGGCUGCAUCUUCAACAACAAGUCACAGAUUAUUAAUGCCAAUCGAAACAACAACAAGGGGAGGAAUGAUGAGUACUAAUAAUCAACAUGUUAGUUUGGCGAAACGCAGAGUGCCAUCCUCUGGUCCAAGCAGAAGAGGUCAUAGAAAAGUUUUUCCGAUUACAUGAUUAGCACAUUUGUAACAUUUUAUAUGAUAUUCAUGAACAACCUUUACACUAAGGUGAUUUUGUGUUAUGUUUUCUUAAUUUGAGAGGUGGGA
rnacentral:lncRNA from 1 species